GGUUAUGGCUCAGUGGUGGAGUGCUAGCCUCCAAUGUGUGAGGCCCUGGAUUCGAUCCUCAGCACCA
rnacentral:tRNA from 1 species